AUGACAAGGCAAUGAUCGCACGUAUUGGUAGUCUGCUAUUUGACAGUUCUAUUGAUCAUCGGAAGACAAUCGAGACGCCAUUCUGCAGUCAUUGCCUUUUAGGAAUAUUAUUGUUGAUUACAAAUAAAUUGUGAUACAUAAUAAUCAGAUUAAGGUGGAAUAUUUUUAAGUUAGGUUAGGCUAAGACUGUUGAUGUUCAUCAAUACCAUUUGACUGAGCGUAGCAGGCGCCGUCGAUCCCGCAGCUUGCUAAGGAACAAUGUAGACUACUUUUAGGAUAUUCCCGAUGCGGAAUUUAUAAAUGAGUCAAGUGUGGGAGCUCGCUCCACUUAGGCAUUCCCAAACCACUUCGGAAUGAUGAAAUAUUGGCGGAGGCAAAGGUGAAAGUGGUUAUCCUCUGUGGAAAACAAUGAUGACCCCAAUCUUAAUACUAUAGAGGGGACACCACACUACUCUAUGUAUGAAACUUGUGACUGUAAUACAGUAGUGCCGUAAUAGUAUAUUGGAACAAUGUUUCAGGGAUGCUGGUUACAAUUUGUGCAAUAUUUAUUGUUCAUGAGUUAACAAAAGAUUAAAAUUUAAAACGAAAAUGGAAUGAAAAUGGAAUGAAAACCUCCUAGGCUUUAGGUUUAAUUUAAAAAAAUGUAGUUAUCACCACCAUGAUAAGUACAAGUUCAUAAGCACCUGUAAUUGGCAUACAUGAAUAAAGAAUUUUAUUGAA